rnacentral:rRNA from 1 species
UACGAAGGGGGCUAGCGUUGCUCGGAAUUACUGGGCGUAAAGCGCACGUAGGCGGCUUUCUAAGUCGGGGGUGAAAGCCUGUGGCUCAACCACAGAAUGGCCUUCGAUACUGGGACGCUUGAGUAUGGUAGAGGUUGGUGGAACUGCGAGUGUAGAGGUGAAAUUCGUAGAUAUUCGCAAGAACACCGGUGGCGAAGGCGGCCAACUGGACCAUUACUGACGCUGAGGCGCGAAAGCGUGGGGAGCAAACAGG